GGCACGGUACGCAAACCGGUAAAGCGGCGACCGACCAACGCAAGGCGUCGGUGCCCGACCUUCGUGAUCGUCUGUGAGUUCGACUCUCACUCGUGCCA
rnacentral:tRNA from 1 species